GUGAUCUGGGAAAGAUUUGAGUUGCUGUUUCUGGCUUUGCAGAUGGAAGGGGCCACAAGAAAAGGAGUAAGAAUGGCUUCUAGAAGCUGGGAAAGGCCAGGAUAUGGAUUUUUCCCUAGAACCUUCAGGAAGUAUGUCAUCUUGCCAACACCUAGUGAGACCCAGAACUCCUGAACUUCUGUGAUAGGAUCAUAGUUUCAUUCAUCUGAAGUGUACCUGUGCCCCAGUGGAGAUUCCAGCUAGAGCUAUGGAAGAACUGCUCUACAUUUUCCAUAAAUGGCAAGCUGCCCCCAAGCCUGCAGCAGAAAAAGCAGGCAAGUUUUUGGUCUUUUCUUCCAUUUAAGUAGUAAGAUGAUUUAGAGAGUGGAAGCCAUAGUGGAAUUUUUGUAGUAGUUAAGGUCUGUUUUGUGAAGGAAUCACAGUGUGCUCAACUUUAGAACACUUUGACACAUCUUUUGGCAAGGGGAUACAUGCAUAUUUAAACACACAAACAUGCAAAAUUAUCUAACGUGUCAGUUCUCAACUUGUCAAAGUAAAGUACCAUUUCUCUGUACUAACGUUUCAUGGUAUGGCACCGGAACUGCUUCAUGCUGUAAGCCAAAAGACCCUGAGACACUAGUUACUCAUUUCAUAAUUUCCAAUAUAGCUGCUAUUAUUUAGUCAUCCAGUCAUGUCUGACUCUUUGUGACCCCAUGGACUGCAGUACACCAGGCCACUUUGCAAUACAAAGUGAUGUUUAAAUGGAUUAAAAAACCUUUUUGCUAUUUUCCUGGUAGUGAAGAACUUUGACAUCAGUACAGUUAAGAAAUCAUCAGCCACCUAUUAUCUCCUGUUUCUUCACAGAUAUAUCACUGUCAUUUAGCCGUUUCUUAACCAACUUCUUUUUAGUAUAAAUUUAACACCGUAAUCCAUCUAAUUUUAAUUCCCACAAAUGAAUUAUUUCACAAAAUAUUAUUCAGUGGCACAUUCCCUUCCUGCUUUUCCAGUACUCAUGGAAAUUUCCAGAAUAUAAGAUAAACACUCUUAAGUACAGUAGCAGUAAGAUUCUUAAUUAGUAGGACAAACCACAUUAAACCCAUAUUUUUUUUUUUUUACCUUUUGUUAUACGUUUGACCUGAGAUUUCCUCCUGGGAGCUAUGCUACAUAGAACUCUCUUGGAUGUGCUAGUCAUGUUGCUCUUUUUUUCUCCCAUCAGACCUACAUUCAUUAGAACAUUCUGUCUUCACAUAAUUCUUUCUUCACAUAAUGAUGUGAGUUUUGGAGGCUCACAUAAGCAGAUACCCAGUGCCCAGGGACAGAGUUCUCUGCCACAGUGACCAAUCCUAUUUAUACUUGUGUCGUAAUGUACUCUAGCUAUUGAUUUCUGAGAAUUUAUCAAUUAUCCAGUUGUUGGAACAGACCAGAUCACUUAGAUUGAUUAUUAAGACUGGAGGUGUGUAGCCCCCACCUCCAAACAUACUGCAUUGGAAUCUCUAGAGGUGGAGUCUGGGAAUCUACCUUGUAACAAAGUCUGUAGUGACCCUUGGGAGUGUGAAAAUUUGAGAACCACUGAAUCAUUGAAGGGUGUUUAACUGUUUUCAGUCUCUGACUCAAUACUCAAGAACUCUUGAUAGUGUAAGAACCCUUGGGACAUCCCGUCACAGUGGCAGUAUCAGUAGAUGUUUUGAAGAAUGUCUCUGCUCUUAACAUUUGACAGUGAAAGAUAAGAUGGAAGAACAACAACAAAAAAAAACAGCAACACAAAACUUGGCUCAAAAGCAAAGCAAACAUCAUCUUGGGCCAGAAAAGAAAGAUGAAUUCAAAUUGGAAAGUGUGGCUGAAUGUCAGUGAGUUUGGGGCUCCUGAGUCAGAAGCUGGCUGUAGACGUAGGGGCUCAGUUCUCAUGGUCCCCCACUACUGUUUGAAACAGGGCAUGCCCAGAGCUC
ensembl:lncRNA